rnacentral:lncRNA from 1 species
CAUGGUGAAACCUCAUCUCUACUAAAAACACAAUAAUUAGCUGGUGUGAUGGUGCAUGCCUGUAGUCCCACCUACUCGGGAGGCUGAGGCAGGAGAAUCACUUCAACCCAGGAGGUGGAGGUUGCAGUGAGCCGAGAUCACGCCACUGCAUUCCAGCCUGGGUGACAAAAGCAAAACUCAGUCUCCAAAAAAAAAAGAAGUCUGGGGUCUAAGCUGCCAGUCUGUGGGGCUUUGUCAUGGCAGCCCUAGGACGCUGAUUACAUGUUUCCACCCCAACCCUGGCUUGCCUCCUGUGUUUCCUGCCUCUGUGAAAGAGACUCCCACCCAGCCAGCUGCCCAAGUCAGAAAGCGGCUUGAGAUUCAUGCUGCCUCCUCCUCUCUCACCACCACCAUCCGUGUUCCUCAGGACCUGUCAUCCCAGUGCACACAGCCAGGCCUCUGCGAGACUGUUUCAUAGAUGCUCAAGACACCAGCAAACCAGUGCCACCGAACAAGUAUGAGAAAAGAACAGGCUAGAUUAUGUUAUCCAGAACUUCACAACCAUCAGAUCUAGACAGAAGGAGGUGGACAGUGAACACAGAAAAGCUGUAAGGUGUCCUGUGACAGAUGUAUGUGGUGGACACAGCAGGACCCAGAGGAAGGAAGAAAGAAGCUGCUCUUGAAAAGACCCUCAAACCACGAUGCUCAAGGAAGUGUCGAGAGAUGAAGGAGAGGUGUUUGCCAGGCAGAGCAGGUGGGGAAGGAUAAUCUGAGGAGGAUAGAUAGCCAGUGCAAAGGCUCAGAGCACUUUUGGAGUGCUGCCAGACCAGGGUGGGUGCGGGGCCCUGGAGGGGGCGAGGCAGGAACCUGACCGAGGGGGCUUUGGAGGUCAUGUCCAUCUUCUGUGAUGUUACAGUGAGGGCUGCCCAGAAGGGUUCAGGAGAGUCACGUGGUGGAGUUUGUCACAUAAAAUAACCCUGGGGCCCGGUGUGGUGGCUCAUGCCUGUAAUCCCAGCAGUUUGAGAGGCUGAAGUGAGAGAAUCGCUCGAGCCCAGGAGUUCAAAACCAGCCUGGGCUGGUGGCUGGUAGUGAG